GUGAACGCUGGCGGUAGGCCUAACACAUGCAAGUCGAACGGCAGCACAGUAAGAGCUUGCUCUUACGGGUGGCGAGUGGCGGACGGGUGAGGAAUACAUCGGAAUCUACUUUUUCGUGGGGGAUAACGUAGGGAAACUUACGCUAAUACCGCAUACGACCUACGGGCGAAAGCAGGGGAUCUUCGGACCUUGCGCGAUUGAAUGAGCCGAUGUCGGAUUAGCUAGUUGGCGGGGUAAAGGCCCACCAAGGCGACGAUCCGUAGCUGGUCUGAGAGGAUGAUCAGCCACACUGGAACUGAGACACGGUCCAGACUCCUACGGGAGGCAGCAGUGGGGAAUAUUGGACAAUGGGCGCAAGCCUGAUCCAGCCAUACCGCGUGGGUGAAGAAGGCCUUCGGGUUGUAAAGCCCUUUUGUUGGGAAAGAAAAGCAGCAGGUUAAUACCCCGCUGUUCUGACGGUACCCAAAGAAUAAGCACCGGCUAACUUCGUG
rnacentral:rRNA from 1 species